UUUCUUCUUUCAUCUUCUUUUUCUUCUUCUCUUCUGUUCUUCUUCAUCGAUUUUCUGUGAGAGUUUGAGUAAGAUUUGAUUAAGGAAAAUCAACUGGAAGUACUGAUAGAUGAUUGGAGACGAAGGUGAUGGUGUUGUGGUUGAUUGAGAACGAGAAUGAGAGGAUAGUUUUAUUUCUGUAAAUCGAGGUUAGGGUUGGUGUGGAUUUAAUGAUGAUAUAUUGUUGUUGAAGGAUAAAGAACGAAAGGGUUAUGGUUGAAUCAAGGUUCUGAAGUUGUGUUGAUGAUGAAUCGAAGAAGUUAAGAGUUGGGUUUUCUCAGGACAACCUUAAAGAAGAGUUUAAAAUUCGAUUUGGUGAGAUUGAGAUGAAAUUAAGGAUGGGUUUUAGGAACAGAUCAUGAAGAACAAGUCUGUUGUGUUAUUUGGGAAUUCAUUAGGAGAAAUUGAAGAAUUAGGGUUCAUGUGUUCUUCCCCAAAGUGGUUUUAGGGUUUUAGUAGAAUUGGAUUGGGGGAAAAGCAAUUCAAUGGAUGCUGAUACUUGGGUAAGUCUUUAAAUUGAUUUAGUUCUAGUAUUUUAAUUUUGAUGGUUUUAAUUAUUGAGAUUGGGUGAUUAUGAAUGAAUAUGAGUUUUAGAUGAAUUAGGUUGAAGAUGUGGUUGUAGUUUAGUUUAUAAUUGAUUAAAAAAGUAUUGUUGAUAUAAAGAAGACUCAGGGAGUUGAUGUUCUUAAAUAUUUGAUUAAUAUGAUUGAGAUGAGGUUGCAGAUGAUGAUGGAAAUGAUGUUGAAGUAAGAAUGCCAUGUUUAUUGAACUGUUUUGCGUGGGUGUGCAGCCGAGUUCGUUUAACUGACAAUGUUGAUUGUUGUUAUUGAAGUUUAAAUGUUUUAGAAUUGGAAUUGUCAAGGUUUGGAUGAAUGAGUGAUUACAGGGUACCAGAUGGGAUAAUUAUGGAUGCCUGAAUUGAGGUUGAAGCUAUGAUGGAGUUUGUAUAGGGUUACAGAUAACUGUGAUGAGUUACAGGGGUUGCAGUGGAACUGAAUUGAGAUGUUGCAUGGGGUAUGGUCUGGUGAAGUACAAGGUUAUGGGAAAUGACAAUGAAACUGAGAAGUAAAAGAAAGGUUGAAUUGAGAGUUCUAGAGAUGUAUUGGCAGUUUAGUUGUGCUGGUUUGUUUGUGUUGAAAAGCUUGCAACUACUGCAAUUGCAGUUAGUUUAUAUUAACAACGAUCGAUUCAAGGGAUGAACCAGUGGAUCGUGGAUCUCGAGGUAGGCGUGGCUUGUCAUCAAAAGAGGUGGGAAUACAUUUAACUCCUUUGUGAUUAUUGUUGUUUUCUAUUACAAAAGCUUAUGUUUAACAAAUUCAUGCAUUGCCUGAUUGUGUAUUCCAUGCAUUAUUUUAUUUUAAAUCCUGAAAGUAUUGUUGAUUCUUUAAAUCUUUCCAUUGCUUGGAAAGGAAUUGUAAU